rnacentral:rRNA from 1 species
UACGGAGGGUGCGAGCGUUGUCCGGAAUCACUGGGCGUAAAGGGCGCGUAGGCGGCCUGAUAAGUAGGGGGUGAAAUCUUGCGGCUUAACCGCAAGGCUGCCUUCUAAACUGUCGGGCUCGAGCACAGUAGAGGCAGGUGGAAUUCCCGGUGUAGCGGUGGAAUGCGUAGAGAUCGGGAAGAACAUCAGUGGCGAAAGGCGGCCUGCUGGGGCUGUUGCUGACGCUGAGGCGCGACAGCGUGGGGGAGCAAACAGG